AUAAAUCACAGUUUGAAUCAGACCAGUUUAUUUCUAUGAUUCAUGAAAACAUUCGGGGUUAAGCGGAAAAAGGUGAGCAGAUAAGAAAAUCACUUAGAGUCUCCUCUCCGUGGAUUUCUUAUAAAAUAGAUUCCUAUUAUGGUAAAGCAAAGGAGUCCCUCAAAGUAAUCUCAUUUUGGAUGUGAGCUCAGUUAGUGAGGAGAAAAUGAUUUUAUGGCCUCAGUUCAGACACGCGCACAUUCCUGAAAUUGAGUUUCCUCCUAUUUAAGACUCUUUUGCCUUUGACAAACAGCAAAAGAAAUGUCCUUUUAGUGAAUGCACUUGAAAACUCACCACAGUGCGUUUGAAGUGUUUUGGAAACACAAUAAUUGGUGUUGUCUUUUCGCCAUAACGGUUAUCAUUAUGUAAUCUUUGAACCAGGGUAUGUACUAACAGUUAUAAACAGUGUGCUUAUUCAACCAUCCACCAUUUUUUUAUUUAUUUAAAGACAAACCACAUUUUCCCACCAAUCAUUCUUUUUAUGCAACCAAAUCCUCAGACUCUUUAUUUUCUAUUUCCCUGUAAUUGAUCCCCUUUCAUUUUUUUCAGGAAAACCCCCCCCACACAAUCUCAUCUCACGUUGAUGUCCAUCAUGCAGUUUAUUCUUCAAAACGUUCAUGUUUGUGUAACAACUGGAGAACACAUAAUGCUUAAACUGACCACUGAUGACACAACGGUGUGCGAGGAACCAACAUUUCAGCUUCCAAACCAAUUCAUUUUCGAUGUGAAUGCUCUGGCCGGUUUGAACAUUUUGUGCUGGGAACUGGAACUGUGCCGGAGUGGAAGCUGUGUUAUCCCGGAUAGUGGUGUUUAGAUUUGUCGCCUGGCAACGUUCCCCGUGCUGCACACAGGAAGUGAUCCAAGCCAGAUGGAGGAGGCAACAACAACAGCAAAC